UUAAGCGACUAAGCGUACACGGUGGAUGCCCUGGCAGUCAGAGGCGAUGAAGGACGUGCUAAUCUGCGAUAAGCGUCGGUAAGGUGAUAUGAACCGUUAUAACCGGCGAUUUCCGAAUGGGGAAACCCAGUGUGUUUCGACACACUAUCAUUAACUGAAUCCAUAGGUUAAUGAGGCGAACCGGGGGAACUGAAACAUCUAAGUACCCCGAGGAAAAGAAAUCAACCGAGAUUCCCCCAGUAGCGGCGAGCGAACGGGGAGCAGCCCAGAGCCUGAAUCAGUGUGUGUGUUAGUGGAAGCGUCUGGAAAGGCGCGCGAUACAGGGUGACAGCCCCGUACACAAAAAUGCACAUGCUGUGAGCUCGAUGAGUAGGGCGGGACACGUGGUAUCCUGUCUGAAUAUGGGGGGACCAUCCUCCAAGGCUAAAUACUCCUGACUGACCGAUAGUGAACCAGUACCGUGAGGGAAAGGCGAAAAGAACCCCGGCGAGGGGAGUGAAAAAGAACCUGAAACCGUGUACGUACAAGCAGUGGGAGCAUGCUUAGGCGUGUGACUGCGUACCUUUUGUAUAAUGGGUCAGCGACUUAUAUUCUGUAGCAAGGUUAACCGAAUAGGGGAGCCGAAGGGAAACCGAGUCUUAACUGGGCGUCUAGUUGCAAGGUAUAGACCCGAAACCCGGUGAUCUAGCCAUGGGCAGGUUGAAGGUUGGGUAACACUAACUGGAGGACCGAACCGACUAAUGUUGAAAAAUUAGCGGAUGACUUGUGGCUGGGGGUGAAAGGCCAAUCAAACCGGGAGAUAGCUGGUUCUCCCCGAAAGCUAUUUAGGUAGCGCCUCGUGAACUCAUCUCCGGGGGUAGAGCACUGUUUCGGCAAGGGGGUCAUCCCGACUUACCAACCCGAUGCAAACUGCGAAUACCGGAGAAUGUUAUCACGGGAGACACACGGCGGGUGCUAACGUCCGUCGUGAAGAGGGAAACAACCCAGACCGCCAGCUAAGGUCCCAAAGUCAUGGUUAAGUGGGAAACGAUGUGGGAAGGCCCAGACAGCCAGGAUGUUGGCUUAGAAGCAGCCAUCAUUUAAAGAAAGCGUAAUAGCUCACUGGUCGAGUCGGCCUGCGCGGAAGAUGUAACGGGGCUAAACCAUGCACCGAAGCUGCGGCAGCGACGCUUAUGCGUUGUUGGGUAGGGGAGCGUUCUGUAAGCCUGUGAAGGUGUACUGUGAGGUAUGCUGGAGGUAUCAGAAGUGCGAAUGCUGACAUAAGUAACGAUAAAGCGGGUGAAAAGCCCGCUCGCCGGAAGACCAAGGGUUCCUGUCCAACGUUAAUCGGGGCAGGGUGAGUCGACCCCUAAGGCGAGGCCGAAAGGCGUAGUCGAUGGGAAACAGGUUAAUAUUCCUGUACUUGGUGUUACUGCGAAGGGGGGACGGAGAAGGCUAUGUUGGCCGGGCGACGGUUGUCCCGGUUUAAGCGUGUAGGCUGGUUUUCCAGGCAAAUCCGGAAAAUCAAGGCUGAGGCGUGAUGACGAGGCACUACGGUGCUGAAGCAACAAAUGCCCUGCUUCCAGGAAAAGCCUCUAAGCAUCAGGUAACAUCAAAUCGUACCCCAAACCGACACAGGUGGUCAGGUAGAGAAUACCAAGGCGCUUGAGAGAACUCGGGUGAAGGAACUAGGCAAAAUGGUGCCGUAACUUCGGGAGAAGGCACGCUGAUAUGUAGGUGAAGCGACUUGCUCGUGGAGCUGAAAUCAGUCGAAGAUACCAGCUGGCUGCAACUGUUUAUUAAAAACACAGCACUGUGCAAACACGAAAGUGGACGUAUACGGUGUGACGCCUGCCCGGUGCCGGAAGGUUAAUUGAUGGGGUUAGCGCAAGCGAAGCUCUUGAUCGAAGCCCCGGUAAACGGCGGCCGUAACUAUAACGGUCCUAAGGUAGCGAAAUUCCUUGUCGGGU
rnacentral:rRNA from 1 species